UGGAAACGCUACAGCAGGGGCCGCAAGGUUGUAAAAGUAGCAAUUUGAGUGUACUGCUAAGGAUAUUUUUGCUUGCGCAAUUUUACAAUAAAAAUUUACAGUGUGGUGAAUGUCUAUGGUUAACAUUAGGUACUGAUGGCCAACGGUAUCAAGUGGGUGCUUAUUUCAAAGGUGGCUGUAUAAAAGUGGACUUUUCAUUUCAUUUGAAUUUGUUACCAUAAAUACACUUAAAGAUAGACGAUGCUGAUAGGAAAUGAAAGAUCUUCGCCGAAUGUCGAUAAAAUUGCAUGGCUUUACGAUGAUAAAAAAUGCAGUUGUGUGAAAAUAAGAGAUCGCUAAAAGUUAACACCCAUAAUAUAAGAAAAUUUACCAAUUAUAAAUCGGAAUCUCGAAGGGUUUGUUGCAUAGAAAACGCUCUUAGAAAUACUUUCGAAAACGUUGAAAUAAGAAAAUUCAUUGUGUCUACAGACUGAAAGUAAUAAGGAUUCCAUUUAAAACUUUCAUCUUUUAUGCAUGUGUAAAAAUUACUUAAUAUCAAAACACCAAAUUAUGGACGGCUACUUAAAUUGGCGAUGGAAAUAAACCUCCAUCAGGUGACGAAAGUUUUUGAAUGCUUGGGAAAAAAGUCUACUGUCUACGUAGAUAAUUUACCACUUUCAAUAAUUCAUCCUUCUGCGCUGUUUUAGACGCGACGGUUUCUUCAGCUUUCUCGAGAUCGUAAUGACGUAUCUGAUGCUUUCUUGUCAGUACUCUAAACGUAAAUGGAAACAAUAUGUACACAUGAACAAACAAAUUCUUCUAUUGGCGUUUAAAUCAUUCAUUGUUCAUGGAUAGAGUAAAAACGACGAUUUUCACGAAACAAUCUUCACUAUAUAAUAGCAUAAAUUAUGUAAAUUAAAAGCAGGUUAUGAGUGCGACAUGCAUGUGAUGUUGAGAUACUUUUUGGAAUUUAAAGAAAGCACUUAUUGGUAAAAACAUACCUGAUUUAGUCCGCAUAAAGGUGAUACUCCUUCAAUUUAUCUACAUGAUGACAUUCUUCUUCUUCUUGAAGAUCAUCAAUGGCGGAUGCAAAACUAGAGAAAAAUUGUUGAGUUAGCUAUACGUUGAAUAAAGAACCGCUAAAACCA